AACGAACGCUGGCGGCAUGCCUAACACAUGCAAGUCGAACGAGACCUUCGGGUCUAGUGGCGCACGGGUGCGUAACGCGUGGGAACCUGCCCUUAGGUUCGGAAUAACUCCCCGAAAGGGGUGCUAAUACCGGAUAAUGUCUUCGGACCAAAGAUUUAUCGCCUUUGGAUGGGCCCGCGUUGGAUUAGCUAGUUGGUAGGGUAAAAGCCUACCAAGGCGACGAUCCAUAGCUGGUCUGAGAGGAUGAUCAGCCACACUGGGACUGAGACACGGCCCAGACUCCUACGGGAGGCAGCAGUGGGGAGUAUUGGACGAUGGGCGAAAGCCUGAUCCAGCAAUGCCGCGUGAGUGAUGAAGGCCUUAGGGUUGUAAAGCUCUUUUACCCGGGAUGAUAAUGACAGUACCGGGAGAAUAAGCUCCGGCUAACUCCGUG
rnacentral:rRNA from 1 species